rnacentral:rRNA from 1 species
UACGAAGGGGGCUAGCGUUGCUCGGAAUCACUGGGCGUAAAGGGUGCGUAGGCGGGUCUUUAAGUCAGGGGUGAAAUCCUGGAGCUCAACUCCAGAACUGCCUUUGAUACUGAAGAUCUUGAGUUCGGGAGAGGUGAGUGGAACUCCUAGUGGUAGAGGUGGAAUUCGUAGAUAUUAGGAAGAACACCAGUGGCGAAGGCGGCUCACUGGUCCGGUACUGACGCUGAGGUGCGAAAAGCGUGGGGGAGCAAACAGGG